GCCAAGAUGGCUUAGUGGCUAAUGCGACUGCCUAGUAAGCAGGAGACCUGGGUUCGAUUCCCGGUCUUGUUGCA